rnacentral:pre_miRNA from 1 species
GUAGUAUUCCCUCCGUCCCAAAAUUCUUGUCUUACAUUUGUUUAGAUAUGGAUGUAUCUAACACUAAAAUGUAACUAGAUACAUCCGUAUUUAGACAAAUUUAAGACAAGAAUUUUGGGACGGAGGGAGUNAGUA